rnacentral:rRNA from 1 species
GACGAACGCUGGCGGCGUGCUUAACACAUGCAAGUCGAACGCUGAAGCUUGGUGCUUGCACUGGGUGGAUGAGUGGCGAACGGGUGAGUAAUACGUGAGUAACCUGCCCUUGACUCUGGGAUAAGCCUGGGAAACUGGGUCUAAUACUGGAUACGACAUGUCACCGCAUGGUGGUGUGUGGAAAGGGUUUUACUGGUUUUGGAUGGGCUCACGGCCUAUCAGCUUGUUGGUGGGGUAAUGGCGCACCAAGGCGACGACGGGUAGCCGGCCUGAGAGGGUGACCGGCCACACUGGGACUGAGACACGGCCCAGCCUCCUACGGGAGGCAGCAGUGGGGAAUAUUGCACAAUGGGCGGAAGCCUGAUGCAGCGACGCCGCGUGGGGGAUGACGGCCUUCGGGUUGUAAACCUCUUUCAGCACGGAAGAAGCGAAAGUGACGGUACGUGCAGAAGAAGCGCCGGCUAACUACGUG